rnacentral:rRNA from 1 species
ACCGGUCGCAGAGACGUGACCUUCUCUUCGGAGCCCGAAACACAGGUGCUGCAUGGCUGUCGUCAGCUCGUGUCGUGAGAUGUUGGGUUAAGUCCCGCAACGAGCGCAACCCCCGCCUUUAGUUGCUACCAUUUAGUUGAGCACUCUAAGGAGACUGCCGGUGAUAAGCCGCGAGGGAAGGUGGGGAUGACGUCAAGUCCUCAUGGCCCUUACGGGCUGGGCUACACACGUGCUACAAUGGCGGUGACAGUGGGAAGCUAAGGGGUGACCCUUCGCAAAUCUCAAAAAGCCGUCUCAGUUCGGAUUGGGCUCUGCAACUCGAGCCCAUGAAGUUGGAAUCGCUAGUAAUCGUGGAUCAGCACGCCACGGUGAAUACGUUCCCGGGCCGUU